GACGUAGGGCGCGAGCGUUGUCCGGAUUUAUUGGGCGUAAAGAGCUCGUAGGCGGCUUGUCGCGUCGACCGUGAAAACUUGGGGCUCAACCCCAAGCCUGCGGUCGAUACGGGCAGGCUAGAGUUCGGUAGGGGAGAUCGGAAUUCCUGGUGUAGCGGUGAAAUGCGCAGAUAUCAGGAGGAACACCGGUGGCGAAGGCGGAUCUCUGGGCCUUACCUGACGCUGAGGCGCGAAAGCUAGGGGAGCGAACAGG
rnacentral:rRNA from 1 species